UGUCAUCUCGGUGUUACACUCUGUCCCUUGUUACAAGAAACUAGAUCUCUCUUCUACGGUGUAAAGAGUUUCACUUGGAAGGAGGUGAAAGAGAAGUUGAAUAGAAGUAUGAUUGUAUUUUAUAGGUAUUCCAUUUCAUUAACUCUAUUGUAUUGAAGUUCAGCUUUAAAAAGGUCGUCCCUUUAGUUAUAUAUGAAUGCUUUUUUUUUAUUUUUAUAACUUGGUAUCUAACCCGAAGGACAGACUAGUUCAAAGGGAUCAAUUCUACCGUUCACUAAUAGAGGGGCUCAUUUAAAACCGGUGCAGAACCCUGUAUGGACUGACCCAAGAAUUGCUGACAAGGGGAUUUGAACUUGAGACCUUGAGGGGUAAGCCUUUUAAUUGUGGUCAAACUC
rnacentral:lncRNA from 1 species